rnacentral:tRNA from 1 species
GUCACGAUAGCUCAAGUGGUCAGAGCAGCGGCGUACGGAGACGAAGGUCGUGGGUUCGAAUCCCGCUCGUGACA